GAUGAACGCUGACAGAAUGCUUAACACAUGCAAGUCAACUUGAACUUCGGUUUGGGUGGCGGACGGGUGAGUAACGCGUAAAGAACUUGCCUCACAGAUAGGGACAACAUUUGGAAACGAAUGCUAAUACCUGAUAUUAUGAUUUUAGGGCAUCCUAAGAUUAUGAAAGCUAUAUGCGCUGUGAGAGAGCUUUGCGUCCCAUUAGCUAGUUGGAGAGGUAACGGCUCACCAAGGCGAUGAUGGGUAGCCGGCCUGAGAGGGUGAUCGGCCACAAGGGGACUGAGACACGGCCCUUACUCCUACGGGAGGCAGCAGUGGGGAAUAUUGGACAAUGGACCAAGAGUCUGAUCCAGCAAUUCUGUGUGCACGAUGAAGUUUUUCGGAAUGUAAAGUGCUUUCAGUUGGGAAGAAAAAAAUGACGGUACCAACAGAAGAAGUGACGGCUAAAUACGUGCCAGCAGCCGCGGUAAUACGUAUGUCACAAGCGUUAUCCGGAUUUAUUGGGCGUAAAGCGCGUCUAGGUGGUUAUGUAAGUCUGAUGUGAAAAUGCAGGGCUCAACUCUGUAUUGCGUUGGAAACUGUGUAACUAGAGUACUGGAGAGGUAAGCGGAACUACAAGUGUAGAGGUGAAAUUCGUAGAUAUUUGUAGGAAUGCCGAUGGGGAAGCCAGCUUACUGGACAGAUACUGACGCUGAAGCGCGAAAGCGUGGGUAGCAAACAGG
rnacentral:rRNA from 1 species